AUGGAGAGAUAUGUAUCCUUACAACUCAAAUCGACCUCUCUCCUGGCUAAUCCACAUCUCAACACCACCGCUGACAUCAAUGCCACAGUGAAACCCUUCAGUGUGUUUGAUGGCUGCGAUCAUCAGGUAGAGGGCAUUCUCUUUGACCUGACCCUGCAGUGCAUCAACGUAGUGGUGGGAAUCCCUGCCAACUUGCUUGUCAUUGCAAUCCUCAUCAGCAAUCGCAAAGAGCCCUCCACUUCAGACAUAUUCUUAGGCUGCCUGGCCUUCAUGGACAUUUACUUUGGUGUCAUGACCCCUAUCAACUUAGUUAACCUUUACCAGUGGCAAAGCAAGGAGGUGUGGUCCUCUGUUAAGUUCUCCUAUGGUGUGAAAGACACCACCGGCCCGUUGUUUCUCUCCUGCAUCUGCCUAGAUCGCUUUAUAGCUGUGCUCUUUCCAGUGAUGUUUGGGCAGCUUAAACACAUCAAGUACAGGGUGAGCCUCUCAGUGCUGGUGUUCUGCCUCACCUUUGCUUACUCAGCCGCCAAGGUUGUGGGUGGUCUCCCCAACUUUGAGAAGGUCUUUACUGGUGAGAUCCUGGCAGCAUUUACCUGGAUGGUUUUGUGUAAUGUUUGCAUCCUGUGGGCCCUGAAGAAGUCCCGGGGUGCAGGGAAAGAUGAGAUGCACCCAAUGAAGAAGAGGGCCUUCAAGAUGGUGCUGAAUAUCCUUUGUAUUAUUGUGUUUAACUACCUACCACCUGUAGCGCUGUUUCCUUUUGAAGACUACUACUCUCCUGAUGUGUUUCGUUGCUAUGUGCAGCCUGUGGGCUUCGCUUUCCUCAACAUCAGUAGCACUAUCCAGCCACUUGUAUAUCUAUCUCGUCUGGACAAAGUGCCUUUCUUCUCAGACGCCUGCGUUAAGAAGUUCUGCGCCUGUGUCUCUGCAGAGAACAACAAAAACCCACCUGCUCAAAACCCCCCUGCUCCAAACCCACCUGCUCAAAACCCACCUGCUCAAAACCCACCUGCUUAA
rnacentral:lncRNA from 1 species